AGCAGCCGCGGUAAUUCCAGCUCCAAUAGCGUAUAUUAAAGUUGUUGCAGUUAAAAAGCUCGUAGUUGAAUUUCGGGAUUCGUCCAUUGGUCAGGCUUAACUGUCUGUACUGGUGUGUCGGAUUUCUACCUUCUGAAGAACCUUCAUGCCAUUAAUUUGGUGUGUUGGGGAAUCAGGACUGUUACUUUGAAAAAUUAGAGUGUUUAAAGCAGGCUAACGUCUGAAUACAUUAGCAUGGAAUAAUGAAAUAGGACGGUACGGUUCUAUUUUGUUGGUUUCUAGGAUCGCCGUAAGUGAUUAAUAGGGAUAGUUGGGGGCAUUAGUAUUCAAUUGUCAGAGUGAAAUUCUUGGAUUUAUGAAGACUAACUACUGCGAAAGCAAUUUGCCAAGGAUGUUUUCAUUAAUCUAAGACGAAAGUUGGGGAAUCGAAGACGAUCAGAUGCCGUCGUAGUCUUAACCAUAAACCUAUAGCCGACUAGGGACUUGGACGAUGUUAAUUUUUUAUGUACUUCG
rnacentral:rRNA from 1 species